rnacentral:rRNA from 1 species
GUUGUAAACUAUAGCAAGCAAUCCCACGGUUGGGCUUCGGCCUGGCUGUGGGUAAAAUGGAUAACCAUGGUAAUUCUGAGGCUAAUACAAGAACGUACUCCCUGGCUUACCGGCAACGGAAGGCUGGGGAGCGUGCAACGUAUCGUAAGACAAACCGGGAAUGGGUGCACGCUUGGACCGCGCUAAAAACAGAUCUUGGUGAACCUUCGGGUAAGCUUUGGCCUGAGCGGCUCUUGCUGUGUGCUUCUGACCUAUCAACUAGAUGGCAGCGUAACGGACAUGCUAUGGUUACAACGGGUACAGAGGAUUAGGGUUCGAUCCUGGAGAGUGGGCCUGAGAGAUU